rnacentral:rRNA from 1 species
GAUGAACGCUGGCGGCGUGCCUAAUACAUGCAAGUCGAGCGAACAGACGAGGAGCUUGCUCCUCUGACGUUAGCGGCGGACGGGUGAGUAACACGUGGAUAACCUACCUAUAAGACUGGGAUAACUUCGGGAAACCGGAGCUAAUACCGGAUAAUAUAUUGAACCGCAUGGUUCAAUAGUGAAAGACGGUUUUGCUGUCACUUAUAGAUGGAUCCGCGCCGCAUUAGUUAGUUGGUAAGGUAACGGCUUACCAAGGCAACGAUGCGUAGCCGACCUGAGAGGGUGAUCGGCCACACUGGAACUGAGACACGGUACAGACUGCUACGGGAGGCAGCAGUAGGGAAUCUACCGCAAUGGGCGAAAGCCUGACGGAGCAACGCCGCGUGAGUGAUGAAGGUCUUCGGAUCGUAAAACUCUGUUAUUAGGGAAGAACAAAUGUGUAAGUAACAAUGCACGUCUUGACGGUACCUAAUCAGAAAGCCACGGCUAACUACGUG